rnacentral:miRNA from 45 species
UGCCUGGCUCCCUGUAUGCCA